UGAGCCUCAACCCUUGUCCGCCGGAGCCACAGAUGUAUGCUAACUAGCAGCAGAAGCGUCCCUUUCUCCCCUCUAAAAAGGUUUCGCUGAGGCAGCCCACCAAAUGCAACAGCCCAUACCAGACGAGUGCAUCAUCUCUGUUUGGAAAGAAUGAACACAUCGCUUCCUAAUGCCUUCAAAAUGACUGCAGAAGAUUAAUAACCGAGGACCUGGAAAAGCUUGACUGUUCUACCUCCCACAUCCAAAGAAGAAUAAGGAAAUAAUUAAGACACAUCAAGGAGCUGAAUCAUUGCUCUGAAGAUCUAGGAAUCAAUCCUGAAAACAUGCUGUUGUACCAAUAUGCACAGUGCCUUGAACAGGUUAUCAUUUCCCACAGUUCUUUAUGUUCCAACCACAAACUUAUUUACCAUAACUUUUUUUUAUUUUUUUUUUGCUAUUGCAAACACAAAGCUGUACAAAAUUGUGACAUACUAGAUAAAUGGGAGCCAUCAGCUGAAGGAUUGGUAGCUUUUUUUGGGAUGGAUACAAAUGAACACCAAAAAA